UUAAAGAUAGUAUAAAUAUUACAUCCUACUGUUAAUUGGAAAAUGCUUUUACUCUUUAAG
rnacentral:tRNA from 1 species